rnacentral:lncRNA from 1 species
UUUUCAUUCUCUCUGAUUUUACUUUACAGAAGCCUGUUUAUAUCUUUGUAUUCCCUAAUAAGCAUGCAGGUGAACAAAAGUACGACCCUUUACAAGUUGUAACUAUAUUCUUAGUUUAGGAAAUAUUUUAUUUUACAACUGUUUUUUGUUAGCACCAGUACUGACUGUCUGUAGAGGCAUAGUACACUGUACCUUGUCUACACAUUGACUGUGUUUUUAAUUUUAUUGUUUAUUUUAUUGUUAUUUUACCCAUUUAUCCUACACUACUGUUUCAGUGCAUUUAGGAUGGACUGAUUUCUGUCGUCUUACUGGAUAUUUUUCUAUUAUUAUUAUGGAAUUGUAUUAGGUGUACGAGGAAGACUGGAUUUCAAGGGCUGUAACAUGGUCGUCUUAGAGCUAGGCUUCACUAAGGUGAAAUUAGGUCACAUGCCGCCAUUGAAAUAAUUUCCAGAGGACACUGAUGUCAUCGGGGCCAAGGAAGGUUCAUAGUUUUAUGUUUUAGUUUAUGUUCAUAAUAAAAAAGAAACAAAAGUGAACGAAAAAGACCACACCAAGGAGCAGACCACCUGUGGUUUGAAAAAUAAAACCAAUGUUCUUCAGUCAUCUUGCUGUGCGCUGAAUACAACCGAGUAUAUAUCUAAUAACCACGGUAGGACACACCAGACAAAAACGAUAGAGUGUGCUGUUUGUUGUUGCCUGAUGUUAUUAGUUAUUCUACCCAGUCGUACUUGGCGCAUUACGAGAUCAGACAGAACACGAACUUGCCUAAAAAUUUUUCAAUGUGUUCUGCUUUUGCCACCAUGGCCAAAGACAGAAAGUGGACUGGGAUGGAGGAUGCAAAGGUUGUGGCUUCGAACCCCCACAGGUUAGGCGAGUUCUCUUUGCCUGUUUUUCUGAUUUGUCAAGAAUGUGAAUGGAAAUAUACUGCCACAUAAUCGGACAAAAAAAAAAAAAAGAAAUGCUUCAGUCAGGGGUUUUUUAUUCUUGAAACCAGAAUGCAGGUCCUCUGCUUCCGCCUCAUCUGGUAUGCUAUGCAAUUUUUCUGUGCUUUUGUAGCUCAGUAACUGUUGACUACUUUGAUAGUCACUUCACAGGCCCCUCCUUCUUUCAAAUCUGGUUCUUCUCGCGUGAAGAACCAUCAUUGAAACAUUGUCACUGAAACAUUAAUGCUCUUACGAGCUUACUUCUUCAUUUCGGAUUGUACAUACCUUACUCGCUUAUAGACGGGAGGCUAAAAUUUUAGUGCUAGGGUAUGGAUGAAUGGUGAAAGAUAGUUACAUUCAUCUUUUGGGAACUUGGGACAAAACAGGCACAAGUCUAGACACACACAGGAGCUCGUACUAGAAGUGAACUUUGCAAUGGAUGAGAAAAAAUGUAUUAACACAGCUGAAACUAAACCCUUGCAAAGUUAAUUUCUAGUUAUAUGAGCAAGCCGCAUUGCGAUGCUACCGAAUAAAAUGAGUCAGGUAUGAGAGAGAACUGAAAAGAGCCACGACACAGAGGGAAAGAAUCAAGAUACUCGCAAGUCAUUGCAUUUUGUCUGCAUUGUAUGUUCUUCCUUCUCCUUCUCUUUGAUUUUCCAUAUUAGAGAGUACGAUAAGCAGGGUAUAUCAGCAAAAGGCCAUAUGCAAUAAGCAGAUUAGAUAUAGGGUACAGUCUUGCACUGUCUGACAAGCUCUACUGCGUAGAAAGUACACUGUGAAGAUCUGCUGUGCGCAUUAUUUAUUCAUGCAUACAUUACAUAGGCCCACUGCUUCUUUCUACAGUAAGUGGCAGUAUAAUGUUGAGAGCACUGUAAAAAAAAUAAAAAAUAUUCCUGUGUAAUAUUACUGCACAUCACUCAUUUUUAGCCUCGACCUUGGUGCCAAUAUUUGUUCAUUGACUGAGAAGAAUGUCACUGUCUAAGCCUUGAUCUAUGUCAACCAACUACACGUCCAUCUUUUUCAUGCUCCCAUUUAUUUCGCCUAUAGAACAAGCAUGUGCCACCAUUAUUUCAGAAUUCAGAAUUUGUUUCAUCUUUGCUUUCCCGGAUGGGAAAGGACACUGCGAAUUUCAUGUGUUGUCAUUGAAUCUGUGGUCACAAAUUCAGCCUCUCCGUUUUUCUUCCAUGGCUGCUGCAUACUAUCAUCAUUGUACAUGUUUCCUCAUCUCUCAUUAUCACAGUAACAUUGAGCUAUUCUAUAGCCACCAUGAAUGUGAUGCAUUUGCUGUGCUGUCUUAUGUUAAAAACGCUGUCAUUGGGCUGAUUGCCUGAAGCAAUAUGUAUAUGCUGAAGAAUAAAAUACUGUGCCGUGAAAGUU